rnacentral:rRNA from 1 species
UACGGAGGGUGCAAGCGUUGUCCGGAUUUAUUGGGUUUAAAGGGUGCGUAGGCGGCCCAUUAAGUCAGUGGUGAAAUCCCAUGGCUCAACCAUGGAACUGCCAUUGAUACUGGUGGGCUUGAGUAAAGUCGAGGCAGGCGGAACUGGUGGUGUAGCGGUGAAAUGCAUAGAUACCACCAAGAACCCCGAUUGCGAAGGCAGCUUGCUGGGCUUUAACUGACGCUGAGGCACGAAAGCGUGGGGAGCGAACAGGAUUAGAAA